GCCACACCAAUUUAAUUUUAUCUAUGGUAGAGUGAUGAGCCUGGCAGAAGAGGGCAAAGAAAUAUCUACAACCGGACUUCAAUAAGGUUUUCUAUUUUUAUUUAAAAUAUUCCAUUUCCUGGCAUUUCAGCAUCAACCUUCUGAGAGGAUGCUAUCUGAACAGCAGUUGGAGUCUUGCUAUGUCACCCAGGCUGGAGUGCAGUGGCAUGAUCUCGGCUCAUUACAAACUCUGUCUCCUGGGUUCAAGCAAUUCUCCUGCCACAGCCUCCCAAGUAACUGGGACUACAGGAAUAUUGAUCUCAGCGUUACUUUGACCAUUAAUGAAUUAUGAUGGCAAUAAGCAAAGAUGCGCACCUCUAGCCUCCAGGGAGCUUAAUCUUCUGCUACAACGUUUGCAUUUAGACAGGGUGUCUCUCUGCUGCUCAGGCUGGAGCGCAGUGGUGCGAUCACAGCUCACUGCAGCCUCGACUUCCUGGGCUCCAGUGACCCUCUCGCCUGAAACCGUACUCCCCCUCAAGCAGCUGAGACUACAGGCAGUGUUUAAGAAGGAUCCAGAAAUACUUCAAGCGAUGCCAGUGGUAGUGUUGCCUCCUCAGAAGACUGCUUUCAGGGGAACAGUAUACAUCUGCCCUGUAAAUUCUGGAUGGUAAAUGUGACAAAACUCUCUCCUUGACCCAGCUCUAGUGAGACUGCUCUAAGCCCUCUUCUCAACAUGGCUCAAGCGUGGGCUUCAGUGUACAUUUGGUUGGGCCUGCAUUGCUCAGUUUUAGCAAGAGUCCGGUUAAGUUAAAGAGAAUCUCACACCUUUGAUAUCAGAUUCUUCCAUAUCUGAUCAAAUUCCUCAUCCCUACCUUCAAUAUCUGAUCAUUCUGCCCUGUCUGCACAAGAAUCUCCCCUCACCCUUGGUGUCUCCUUUUAGUAAUUUUCCAUCCACGAGUCUCUCCCACUCUUCAAGCCUACUCCUUGCUGUAACUCCCUACCCCUCCUUGUCUUAUUUGCAGCUGAACUCUGUUCUACACUGAGGUCUCUUUUUCCUGAUUGCAAUAGUUCCUGAAUAAAAUCUGUUUU
rnacentral:lncRNA from 1 species